GGGGGUUUAGCUCAGCUGGUAGAGCACCUGCUUUGCACGCAGGGGGUCAGGAGUUCGAAUCUCCUAACCUCCA
rfam:Brachyspira sp. CAG:484 genomic scaffold, scf52